rnacentral:rRNA from 1 species
AUUGAACGCUGGCGGCAGGCUUAACACAUGCAAGUCGAGCGGAGAGAGGUAGCUUGCUACUGAUCUUAGCGGCGGACGGGUGAGUAAUGCUUAGGAAUCUGCCUAUUAGUGGGGAACAACAUUUCGAAAGGAAUGCUAAUACCGCAUACGUCCUACGGGAGAAAGCAGGGGAUCUUCGGACCUGGCGCUAAUAGAUGAGCCUAAGUCGGAUUAGCUAGUUGGUGGGGUAAAGGCCUACCAAGGCGACGAUCUGUAGCGGGUCUGAGAGGAUGAUCCGCCACACUGGGACUGAGACACGGCCCAGACUCCUACGGGAGGCAGCAGUGGGGAAUAUUGGACAAUGGGCGGAAGCCUGAUCCAGCCAUGCCGCGUGUGUGAAGAAGGCCUUAUGGUUGUAAAGCACUUUAAGCGAGGAGGAGGCUACUUUAGUUAAUACCUAGAGAUAGUGGACGUUACUCGCAGAAUAAGCACCGGCUAACUCUGUGCCAGCCGCCGCCGUAAGAC